rnacentral:rRNA from 1 species
GCCUACAUGAAGUCGGAAUCGCUAGUAAUCGCGGAUCAGCACGCCGCGGUGAAUACGUUCCCGGGCCUUGUACACACCGCCCGUCACACCACGAGAGUUUGUAACACCCGAAGUCGGUGAGGUAACCGUAAGGAGCCAGCCGCCUAAGGUGGGAUAGAUGAUUGGGGUGAAGUCGUAACAAGGUAGCCGUAUCGGAAGGUGCGGCUGGAUCACCUCCUUU